rnacentral:rRNA from 1 species
UACGUAGGGUGCAAGCGUUAAUCGGAAUUACUGGGCGUAAAGCGUGCGCAGGCGGCUUUGCAAGACAGAUGUGAAAUCCCCGGGCUCAACCUGGGAACUGCAUUUGUGACUGCAUGGCUAGAGUGCGGCAGAGGGGGAUGGAAUUCCGCGUGUAGCAGUGAAAUGCGUAGAUAUGCGGAGGAACACCGAUGGCGAAGGCAAUCCCCUGGGCCUGCACUGACGCUCAUGCACGAAAGCCAGGGGAGCGAACGGG